rnacentral:rRNA from 1 species
AAUAUUGCACAAGUGGGGGAAGCCCUGAUGCAGCCAUGCCGCGUGUGUGAAGAAGGCCUUCGGGUUGUAAAGCACUUUCAGUAGGGAGGAAGGUAGUGUAGUUAACACCUGCACUAUUUGACGUUACCUACAGAAGAAGCACCGGCUAACUCCGUGCCAGCAGCCGCGGUAAUACGGAGGGUGCGAGCGUUAAUCGGAAUUACUGGGCGUAAAGCGCAUGCAGGCGGCCUGUUAAGUCAGAUGUGAAAGCCCCGGGGCUUAACCUCGGAAUUGCAUUUGAAACUGGCAGGCUAGAGUCUUGUAGAGGGGGUAGAAUUUCAGGUGUAGCGGUGAAAUGCGUAGAGAUCUGAAGGAAUACCAGUGGCGAAGGCGGCCCCCUGGACAAAGACUGACGCUCAGAUGCGAAAGCGUGGGGAGCAAACAGGAUUAGAUACCCUGGUGG